AUUGAACGCUGGCGGCAGGCCUAACACAUGCAAGUCGAACGAGUGGCGGACGGGUGAGUAAUGUCUGGGAAACUGCCUGAUGGAGGGGGAUAACUAAUGGAAACGGUAGCUAAUACCGCAUACCAGCGGAUGUGCCCAGAUGGGAUUAGCUAGUAGGUGUGGUAAAGUCUCACCUAGGCGACGAUCCCUCUCUGGUCUGAGAGGAUGAACAGCCCCACUGGACCGUAGACACGGUCCAGACUCCUCCGGGAGGCAGCAGUGGGGAAUCUUGCACAAUGGGCGCAAGCCUGAUGCAGCCAUGCCGCGUGUAUGAAGAAGGCCUUCGGGUUGUAAAGUACUUUCAGCGGGGAGGCGUUACCCGCAGAAGAAGCACCGGCUAACUACGUGCCAGCAGCCGCGGUAAUUC
rnacentral:rRNA from 1 species